CUAAGACUAAAUUAAAAGAAAGCUGACUAAAUGAACACCAAGUCAGUAUUUCUCUGGCACAGAAUAGAGUAAAUUAACAACAGUGUUAAAACAUCCAAGGUGAAGGAGUAUUUUAAUUAUACACAGAUACUAUCCAAAAGAUCCAGUUUCAUCUCUGUGAUAGGCCUGUCUUAGCUGUCUGGAUCCACUCCCACAGAGCAGAUAUCAGAGGCUGGAUCUAGGUUGUGACAGCUCACUCAAGAGUCUCCAAUUUCACCACAAGCUGCUGCUGCUGUUACUGUUGAUGGUGCCACACUCAGGGUCAACUAGAGCAAGAAGAGACAACAGGAUGGGGCGAUGAUUCCCGUGAAACAACACCGGUUUCGUCAGAAGAAGAUCCGGGUCACUCAUCAAAAAAUCUGAUGCAAGCUUCAACACCACCCUGUAACAAGAGGAGCUACACCCUGUUAGCAAACUGUGACAUUUUUUAUUUCAACAGAAGACGUUUUAUAAUUAAUUGAAUUAAGUACAACUUUUUGUAAAACAUUUAAAUACUCUUAUUUAAGUAAAAUACAUUAAAGGUCUCACUUAAUAACAAAGUAUGAGCAUUAAGUUCCACAUUUUGAAAGUAAUCAACUUAUUAUGCAGACAGCCCAUUGCAGAAUAUAUGGGCCACAUAAUGGCAUUUUUUAUUAUUAUAAGUAUUGCUUUAAUGUUGCAUCAUGAAAACGUUGGGCUUAUUUUAACUACUUUAAAUACAGCCCGGUAGCUUAAGUUAUUAGUUAUAAUUUAUUAGUUGACUUAUAUUUAGUCUGAAUGAUAUGAAUCUUUAGAGUGACUGAAGUUAUCAAAUACAUGUAUUUGAUAAAGAUAUUGGCUCACAAAACUGCAGUGGAAUACAAUUAAGUACAAGUUAGAGAGUGCAAGAGUUAUUAUAAAAUGGAAAUAGUCAAGUAAAGUACCUCAAAAGUGUACUUUUGUGAUAAGUAAAGGGUAGUGAAAAAACUUGUACUUGAGUCAAUUAACUUUGUACAAUUUUAUGCCAUACUUUUAUAAGUACAUGUACUUCCUUUUAGAAACAAAUGUACUUAUAAAAUACAAUGCUUUGUUACAGUAACUUGAGCCACACAGCGUCCAAAUAAAUAAAAAACUUUACCGAGGCCAUUAAAAGGCAUCUUAAAUAUAAUGUAAUAGUAUUAUAAUAAUUUAACAAGCGCAAAGCAUCUAUGGCUGCACGGUAUGUACCUUUAUACUUAUAGAGUAAUGUAAACUUACUUGAUAAAAUGUUUCCUAAAGUAUCAUUUUGAAUGGAGUUUUACUUGUAAGUUGUUUUCUAAUCAUUGUAUUGCUACUUUCCCUCUUUAUAUAACAUGCAGGUUUAAAACUGCUUAUUUUAUUAAAAACUGUUUAUUUUACUGUCACAAAGUUUAUUUCCAUUUUGACUGCUCAAAUAUCACUUUAAUUUGUUCUGCCAUCUAGUGGCUGAAGAGAGGAAUUGAAGCCAUUCACAGGGUUCCUGCAGGUAUCGCCAACUCAAAUUUAAGACUUUUUAAGACCUUUUUAAGACCACUUCUAAUAGAA